UCUACUAGAAUGUUUAUAUGUGGCUCAUCCAUUCAUCGAGAACCUACUGUGCACUAUUCUAAAUGUUGAGGAUUCAGCAGUGAACACAUCGAGUUUAAACCAUGGAGGAGGAGGAUUCCAAGCAGGGGAACAGCUUGAGCUAAGGCCCUGAGGCAGGACCACACCUGUCCUGUUCCAAGAACAGCAAGGAAGCCAAUGAGCAAUGAACGAGGAGCAUUGGGCUCCUCAACAGAAAUGCCAGCGUCUAAAAUUCUGAGGGAAGUCAUUUCCAGCCUGAAUUUUACACCCAGGGAGAUACAGUCAAGCUCUUCAGAAUGUCAUUCCUGGAAGUGGUCUGGAGGAGAAGGUAAAUGUUAGGGUUAGGAAAAAGGAGUCCACUAAGACAUAAACCUUUUAGAAGUUAAAGAUCUCUGCAGUGAACUCAAAAGGACAUAGUCUCAGCAAAGAGGGACAGGGGAUGACAGGCUGGGGGAGGCUGUUAGGCAGUUUCUCAAGUCUCCUUGUGGGAAGCUGGUUGCACUGUGUGUUCCUAGGGUUAUCUUCCUGUACCGCUCCUUGGUUAUGAGAGUGAUGCAAUGGAUGGAACACUCGCUGUUUGCACAUACUGGAAGGAAAGCUGCAUUUAUGACAAGGGGUUUGGGAAUGUAGCAGUGAUAAAACACCUAGAAACCAAAGUAAAUUAUGUUUAAAAGAGCCAAAAGUAAAAAGUUAUGAGAAAGGAAAUGGAAUCAUAUUGUAUUAUAUGGCUUGGUUGAGAUCAGUGUCUACAUAGUCAUAAUAAUGUAGAUACUAAGUAUUAAUCUAACCUCAAAUAGUAACAUAACCAUGUUCGGAGGGAGGGGAAUUGUGUAUAUAUUGUUUGUGUGUGUGAUGGGAGUGUUGAAGAAAUACAUCAAUAGCCAAUGCCUAAAACUGAAAAGAGGAGGAAAGCAGUGUUGGAGGUGUGCUUUCCAUGGGCAGGAAAACACCAAAAAUACCAACUGAAUUGGAACUGCUCACUUAUUGGGAGUUGGAAAGGAGGAGAUGCAGGGAACUGCAGGUUUAAAAAAAAAAAAAAAAAAGUUCUAGAAAUAUUUGGCUUCUUCAGCUAUGUCCAAAUAAAACUUUAAUUAAAAAAAUAGAUAUUUUCCUUAGAGGUUCUCUAGAAAACCAUGCUGACAUCGGACUGUUGCUCACAGCACAGUGGGGCUGCCAGGAAGAGGUGGUAUGGAGGCAACGCACUGAUGGACAGGUAGCACAGGGGAAACAGGGAGGCCAAAUCCCCACCAGACACUGAGCAGGGAGCAGCCAGGCCUGCAGGCCUAGCAGCAAGUGGCACUUUCAGGGUGACUUGAGCAAGCCCCUGUUCCCCUCAGAGAAGUGGGGGUGUGUGGAAGGCAACGUCCUCAUCCUGGGGACCUGAACCCCAUCCCUGGCCAGUUGGUGAGCCACCCAGCAGCCUCUCUCCUAGUCCCUCCCAGUGUCUGAGACCCCUCAGAUACCCUGGUAUCUCAUCUGAGACCCCUCUCUGGGCAUCUGAGACCAAGU